UAAUAGAAUUUUCAAAUGUAUGUUGAGAUAUAAACCAAUUCAUGGUAACAAAAAUUGAAUUCCAGGUAAUCUGAUUGAGUUUAAUUGCUACUUUGUUUGGGUUUUAUCUGUUAUUGGUGAGCCUUAAAUCUGUUUUGAAAUCAACACCGGUCCGCUUUCUGAACCCUAUUACUCUUCAUCUCUCUCAACUAAAGUUCUAAAUCUGUUUUCCGGAGGAAGAGAUAUAAUGACGAGAUCUCUGUUGUCGACAUGAAGGAAAGACUACGGAGGAUUAAGUUAAGGAAGAUGUGCAAGUAGGGUGGUAAUUGGGGGGUCGUAGCUGGAGCUUACGUGAGAAUGGAGUAUGGAAUGGAGAGGGUCUGUGGUACCAGCGAUUAGAAGAAUGCAAUGCUCGGGGGUGCUGCUAUGGGAGCUUUGGUGUCUGCAGCUAGCAGUAAGUAACAAUGGAGAGAAAAUUGUGACAAAUACAAUAGCAGGAGGUGUUAUCGCCACAGCUGCAGAGUUUAUCAAUUGUCUUGCCUAAGCCAAGAGAAAUAAAUGCAUCUAUGAUUUGGCCUGUAAGAAAGAACAAAUACCUUAUGUUGCUUAGUUAACAAUUGCAGUAA